GACCAUUUUUGCCUCAGAUUGACUACGGUGCCCUGAACAGGAAUCACUUCUACCGCUACCUUCGUACGGUGCCCUGAACAUGAGUCACUUCUACCGCUACCUUCGUACGGUGCCUUGAACACGAGUCACAUCUACCGCUACCUUCGUAUGGUAUCCUGAUUACUUCUACUGUUACCCUCUAUGGUGCUCUGGACCCGAGUCACUUCUACUGUCACCCUCCUACGAGUAACGUGAAGGAUUUUGCACUUAAGUCCGACUUCGUAGAUGGACCAUUUUUGCAUCAGAUUGGAUUUUGCACCUGAGUCCGACUUCGUAGAUGGACCAUUUUUGCAUCAGAUUGGAUUUUGCACCUGAGUCCGACUUCGUAGAUGGACCAUUUUUCAUCAGAUUGGAUUUUGCACCUGAGUCCGACUUCGUAGAUGGACCAUUUUUGCAUCAGAUUGGAUUUUGCACCUGAGUCCGACUUCGUAGAUGGACCAUUUUUGCAUCAGAUUGUAAGUAUUAAAUUUCUUUAUCAUUUUCCUAAAUAACUUUAAUGAAUAUCCCACAAAUUGACCCUUAAAAUUGCAUUUUUAUGCUUCGAAGGACUAAUUUUUACUUGUUUUGGGGAUUUUGCAUUAUGCAUUAUGUUAAAAUUUACUUGGGUUGCAAAAUUAUUUUUGUGAGUAGUUCACUAGGCAGUCGCGAAACUUUUUGUUUGUUUACUAUUGGCUUUGUUCACCUUGUCUCUCAACAGUGUCAACUGGUGUCAACUCUCUUCUCUACUUAGUCGGCCGUGCAUUGUUGCGCGAUGCGCACGUGUUUCUGGCAUUCGGUGCUAGCUUUACAUUCGGUCGAUCGUUGACGGCGUGUGAUAAUUACGGGAUAAUGUGAUAAUUACUGCGCGUAAAACUCAGGAUUAAGAUUUGGGUGUGCGCGUGUCUUCCGACGGAUAUCUUCCGGUGAUAUUGUAUUCCCAUUGGAUUUAUUAUUUCAUGAUUUGUUAAACAGAUUUCGGCUGUGUAGUAUCUUCAGUCAUUGUUACUAUAUAA